ensembl:misc_RNA Metazoa_SRP Metazoan signal recognition particle RNA
GCCGGGUGUGGUGGUGCACACCUGUAAUCCCAGCUACUCGGGAGGCUGAGGCAGGAGAAUUGCUUGAACCCAGGAGGUGGAAGCUGCAGUGAGCUGAGAUGGCACCACUGCACUCCAGCCUGGGUGACACAGUGAGAUUCUGUCUCAA